GAUGAAGAACGUAGCGAAAUGCGAUACUUUGUGUGAAUUGCAGAAUCCCGUGAACCAUCGAGUCUUUGAACGCAAGUUGCGCCCGAAGCCAUCAGGUUGAGGGCACGUCUGCCUUGGCGUCACAUAUCGUUGCCCAAUGCCUAUUGCAGUGCAAUAGGAAUUUCUAGGGCGAAUGAUGGCUUCCCGUGAGCGUUGUUGCCUCGCGGUUGGUUGAAAAUCGAGUCCUUGGUAGGGUGUGCCAUGGUAGAUGGUGGUCGAGUUAGAACGAUACCGAUCAUGUGCAUGCUCCCCAAAAUAUGGCCUCUAUGACCCACACGCGUCUUUUGACGCUCAUGACGAGACCUCAGGUCAGGCGGGGCUACCCGCUGAAUUUAAGCAUAUCAAUAAGCGGAGGA
rnacentral:misc_RNA from 1 species